ensembl:lncRNA
GCGUAAUAGCAAGUGUACAGUAUUUUAUAAUGUAUUGCAUUGAGGGCUAAGGAGGGCGUGGAAAAUAGUGUUGCUGGAUGUAGCACACAGUUCCCUUCCAAAACUAAUUUAAUGUACGUAGCCACUCUCCUGAGUAUUUGUUAUAAUGCGUGUUAAUGUUUUUUGCGCAAUAAGACAAUAUUCUAUAUACAGUGAUUUGCGUUAGCUGUAUUUAUUUUAACUAUGAUUUUGUAAAACACCAUGCAAAUGGAAAUCAAAUAUGAGCCCUUGAGUAAACGUGUAAACGUACAGUUUUUAGGCACUUUUCGAGUACUACAUCGCGAAGUUUUAUUGUGAAAUGUUUUUUAAAAAAAAACUGUGACCCGGAAGUGGUUUUUUAUUGUCGACGACCCUUAUGUAUAAGAAGGGACUGGGGCAGCUUCUGAACAUUUAAGCCAUCACAUGAAUUUUACUGAUGGACAGAAUAUUUCCCCAGUUGUUGCAGUGGCCGGCUGAGAGACUUGCAGCGUUCAGGUUUGUGUCGGUAUGUACCUUACAACUUCAGCUUUCGUCUUUCUGCUUGAAGUCGUACUGGUAGCAUAGCUAGUUUAUUUAACAAAUGAUUGUCAACUCCUAUAAUUUACAGCUAAACGUCUUCUUCAAAGUUACAGUCGAUGUAUUUUAUAUGUGGGGGGGGGGGGGAAAUGGCAACGCUUACGUUACCGUGUUAUUUUUGUAAUUUUAUUUUGUCACGUGUUGUGAAAUGAGAAGUUUUCAAAGAUGGCGCGGGCAUAAAUCCUGUGUUUGCUUUGCCUUUUGUUCUAAGCCUUGCUGCGACUUCAGUAGUUGUUCAAGUGGAUGGGAUUAAUAGGACCGUCUUUAACGACGUGUGUUAGGAUUUGAUCUGAUCAAGUUAAUCUACUCCAUUUAUUUCGAAUUGAGAUCUUAGCUUUAAUCAGCAUGUAAUCUGUGAUUCCAGAACAGAUCUUUGAUCUUGGUUUUCACAAUGAUGAACGUAAGGAAUUCAGAAGUAGGCCCUACAGAAAAGCCUAUUUUUGAUAAGGCCAAGCUAUGCAAACCUGUUUUUUCAGGUCUAACGUAAGACUUUGAACGUUCUAGGGCAAUGACAGUAUAAAAACAUGCCAUUCAGUUUUAGCGAUCUUGUUGAUGAUAUAAUCAACAUCGGAAAACUAGGUUUAAAAAUGUCGCUACUUGACAAUCAAGAAGCUAGAGCAGCGAUUGAUUUUGCUCUUCUCAAAUAAAUAAAUUAAUGCUUUGAUGUGCAGAUUGGUUCCAAAAUGUGUUUAAUCAGAUCAGAUAUCCUACCCAUGAUAACUGAGAAAUAUGGUGGCUUUAGUCACUAAAAACAUGAUGGCCCUUGUGACUCUGUGUGACUGAGGGAUGCUGUCCAAGAAUAGAGAUGCGUAUUGGAAGGAAAUCCUGAUUUAUUUCAAACCUUUCUAGUCAUCAUAGGAGAAAUGAAGUCCCCCAUAUCUCAGUCCAGCGCAAACAGACUUAAUGGUGUUUUAUAGUGCUCCUGGGGGUUGACUCCAAGAUGCCAUUUAUUUUACAAGGGAAUAAACGGGUGAUGGUAUUAUGCUUUUUAGCCGUCACUGCAGAUUUGGAGUUUCAACCAUUUAAAGCAGAAUUCAGAGCGCUGGGUUGGAUUUUUUUAAUGCAAAUCACGAUGCCCCUCUGUAGAGCCUUAACUUAGAAGGAAAAAUGUGUUAGACAUGGAAAUAAGACACAAACCCCUUGGUAACAAGUCCGGGGAAUGGCAGGAGGAUGGGCGAAACCUUGUUGACCCAAAUGUGCGCUUGUUUAUUUACCAUGCUCACCUUGUGGACACACGCAGACUUUUUCUGAGCUGACAAAUGCACAUUUUUUUGGUUGCUCCUAGCCCUUCCUGAGAGUACAGGUGCAGAUUUCAUUUUCCAACAGGACUUGGCACCUGCACACAGUGCCAACGGUACCAGUACCUGGUUUAAGGACCAUGGUAUCCCUGUUCUUAAUUGGCCAGCAAACUCACCUGACCUUAACCCUAUAGAAAAUCUGAGGUAUUUUGAAGAGGAAGAUGUGAUAUGACAGACCCAACAAUGCAGAAGAGCUGAAGGCCACUAUCAGAGCAACCUGGGCUCUCAUAACACCUGAGCAGUGCCACAGACCGAUCGACUCCAUGCCACGCCGCAUUGCUGCAGUAAUUCAGGCAAAAGGAGCCCCAACUAAGUAUUGAAUGCUGUACAUGCUCAUACUUUUCAGUUGGCAGUAUUGGUCUUAAGUAAUAUUCAAAAUUUCUGAGAUACUGAAUUUGGGAUUUUCAUUAGUUGUCAGUUAUAAUCAUCACAAUUAAAAUAAAUAAACAUUUGAUAUAUAUUAGUCUGUGCAAUGAAUAUAAUAUACAAGUUUCACCUUUUGAAUGGAAUUACUGAAAUCAACUUUUUGAUGAUAUUCUAAUUUUAUGACCAGCACCUGUGUGUUAUAUGACGCUGCCAAUCAACUUUAACAGCAAGAAGGAAUCAUUAAAAUGUUUUGUUUUCCAUUACUUAGUUAGGGUUUGUGGUCCAGAGUGGUGUUGGAGUGUUUAAGACCAGGGUUGUUCAACGCUACACUUUGAUGCCGGUUCGGGUCCAUCUUUUCACGGCAACACUAAUAUUGGUCUUAUUUAGACCUGGGACUUCAGGUGGGUGCCAUUAAUGAGAUUAAUUGCAGGCUCCGGGCUUCAUAGUGUAGUGUUUCUUAAUUAUGGUCCUGGGGACCCCAAGGUGUGCAUGUUUUUGUUGUAGCCCUCGAUUGAUGUAAUCAACCUAUCAAGUCUUUUAUUUGACUGAAGUGUUAGUGCUGGGCCAAAAACAAAAUCAGCAGGACCAAGAUUGAGAGACAGUGUCAUGGGGUAAGACAGUGGUUCCCAACUACGGUCCUCAAGUACCCCCAACAGUACACAUUUUCAUUGUAGCCCCAGCCAAGCACACAGCUGAUUCAACUUGUCAACUAAUUAUCAGGCUUGAAUUAGGUGUGCUUGUCCAGGGCUACAACAAAAAUGUGUGCUGUUGGAGGUACUUCAGGACCGGAGUUGGGAACCUCUGGGGUAAGAGUUCAAUUAAAAUUGUAACCCAUGCUUUAGACCAGGGGUGUCAAACCGGUUCCACGGAGGGCUGAGUGUCUGCAGGUCUUUGGGUUUUCCUUUAAAUUGGUUCCCAUUUCAGACCUAAACAACCAGGUGGGGGUAGAAACUAACCAAUUAGUGAACUAAUUAAUCAAUCAGGUACAAGGUGAGAGCGAAAACCUGCAGACACUCGGCCCUCCGUGGAACCGGUUUGACACCUGUGCUUUAGACGUUCAACUUCAGGGCUAUUCAAAUCCAGUCCAGGAGGCCUGAAAUACUUCUGGUUUUUGGUUCUACCUACUAGUUUAUUGCCUUCACCUGGCAUCUCAGGUCUAAAUCAGUCCCAUAUUGUUAGAGGAUAAAGCCAGGAAUGUUUCGGCCCUCAAGGGCUGGAAUUGAAUAGCUCUGUACUACUUUCAAUUUUUUUUUAGUCUCUCUUUUUUGGAAACUGCCCUUUUACUGUGUGCUUAUAUGCAUAAAGGUGUAUAAGAGACAGUAUUCAAUGAUGUUGUGUGUCAAAUGUGAGUAACGUUCAGUCUAUUUUUUUGGAUGAUCUAAUUAAGUCAGUGUUUCUUAAUCUUGGUCCUGAAGACUCCAAAGGGUGCAAGUUUUUGUUUUACUACAUGCACGUACAAAUGUGCAAAGAACCAAUGUUUACCUUGCAGAUGGUAACUUAUGAGCAGGCCAUAACAACAAAUGGGUGCUGAACCUCUAAAUCAGUGGUUUUCAAACCUCUCCUAUGAGGAACCCCAGACCUUCUACAUCACAGGUGUCGAACCGGUUCCACAAAGGGCCGAGUGUCUGCAGGUUUUUGGUUUUUCCUAUAAAUUGGUUCCUAGUUCAUACCUACACAACCAGGUGAGGGUAGAAACUAACCAAUCAAGUACAAGGAGAGAGCAAAAACCUGCAGACACUCGGCCCUCCGUGUAACCGGUUUGACACCUCUGUUCUACAUCUUUGCUGUAGCUCUGAACUGGCACAGCAGAUUCACUAAGGGCUUUAGGAUUGGUAGACAAGUUGAAUCAGGUGUGCUAGCUCUGGAAUAGUUAAUAUGACCGAACUGGCUUUGGUCUCUAGGAGAGGUUUGAAAACCACCGCUCUACCAGGACAUUCAACCUCCUACCUCAUCUGGUGCAUUGUUAAAUAGGCCUCCUUUACUUGACAAGUUGGGUUAUUUCUGAUUGCCUACAUAAAAUAGGCUACUACCUAUUUUACAGUAUCCAUCUUAAUUGCUUUUUUUUUUUUUACUGGCUAGUUGUUAGUGAUUGAAGCUGGUAAUAGUCCAUAGAGAAAUGUGUAAAGAAAAUGAAGUCUGUUAAAUUGUUGCUUCAUCUCCACAGUCAAGUCCUUCACUGAAAUGCUUCUUGAUCUCCCAUGUUUUCUGCCUGUAGUGCAUAUCCCAACCAGUCAGAUGUUCUUGACUGGGGACAAUGAGCCUAAUUGCAUGAUGACAGUGCUGGGGCUGUGACAGAAAUGGAUUGAUUUACUGGUUUACUAGGGUGCCGUGUGUCCUGGGUGCCCUUGAUCACAUGGGGGCGGGGCGCGCCACUGAUUCGGUUUGUGCCGUAGCAAGUCAUGGAUCCCUCAUCCCUGCUGUAACUGACUCCCUGGGUGGAUCUUGGCACCUUGCUUUACACCACUGGCUGGUUCUGAAGACUUGGACCGGAUGAGUAAAGAAACGGACCCGGAGUAACCGCUCAUGUUUUGGCUCAUGGCUAUACUGUAGUUUCAAUGUUCUUGUCAACCAAAUACUUAAUAAAAAUCUGUGCGUUAAAGUUCUUGUCUACUUUGUGAAUGGGACUGUGGAAAGCUGCACUGCAACCAUGCAUAUCUUUCAUUCAUGAUGGCGUGUCAUUACAAUGACCUUGCCUGGUGUUAGGUGACAACUUGUCUCACAGCCAAUUUACACAUUCAUUGGAGUGUAUUUCUGGAACAUGUUCUCUUGGUGGUGGGAAUGAAUAAAUGCACUUCUCAAAGUUGAGGAUUUGUCUUACAUGUCUGCAUUUUAUUUGUCAAUAACAGCUGUCAACUCAAUGUAAACCUGUUCAUUGAUUUCUCUCAAAGGUAAUUGGCUUGGUUCAG